GGCCUGCUUAAAGUUUUCUUUACAUCGUUGAAUGAGUCUCUGUGUUGUCAAUCCCCGACACCCUCCGCACGUUCUCAGACACAGGCUGCGCGGCAGAUGUGACAGAUAGCACUUGAAAACUGGUCAAUUUCUUCCCCGUGUCGACAGAGGAAAGCCAACAGCUCUGAGACUUGUUGCGUGUAGCACCUGGAGGAGAUGGCCAUUCUUAGAUGACUCCAAACCAGAUGAUUCUGACCCCCCAGGAGGAAGCCAGCUGCCAUGUCACGAGGUCACUCAAGUGGCCUUAUGGAAGAGUCCUCAGAGCCAGGAACAGACACCUCCUGUCAACUUGCCAGCCCUGUAGAUGAGCCUUGGAAGCAGAUCGCUCAGCUAGGAACCUUCAGAUGGCUGCAGCACCAAGUGACAUGGUGACUCCCACCUCAGGAGUAGCUCCAAGCCACAUCUGCCCACUCAAGCCACUCUCUGUUUCCUGACCCACAGAAACUGUGCAGCUAUUAGAUUUGGGUACAAUCUGUUAGGCAGUGAUAAUCCACCCUUCAGCUUUGCAGCCAUCUAGGAAGGCUUGGGGACCAGUCUGGCUUUGGGAGGAGCAAUUUACUCUAAGCCAAUUUAAUUUCCUUUCAUGAUGAAGUGGCCUGGCGCGUGGAUAAGGGAGUCAUAAGUGUAUCUCCUGCCUCCGGAGGGCUUUUAAUUUGAUACCACAUGCCACUCUCAUCAACAUGCACGGGGGUAGGGGCUGAGCAGCGGUUCAUUGAUUUGGCCCUGGGAGAAUGGAUUCUGUAGCUAAUUCAGGACUCCAGAGAGGCCAAACAAGGGAUUACUGCUGUGGCUAGAAUGUGUCACCCCAAAUUCAUGUUCUGGAAUGGAAUCCCACUGUAAGUUUGGGAAGUGGUGCCUUUUGGAAGAUGUCUUGGGAGGAGGGCGUGAAGAUGCUGCCCCGUGGAUGGAUUAAUAACAGUAUAAAAGGACUUCCAUCUUGUCUUUACUGACGGCCACUUCCUGGUCUUCACCAGCCUUUGAAUCUGUCAGCACCUUGAUGUUGGACUUUGAAGACAUGAGAUAUGUGAGAAAUAAAUUCCUAUUGUAUAUAAAUUA